GACAGAGGUCCCGAGCGUUAGGCGGAAUCACUGGGCUUAAAGCGUGUGUAGGCGGAUCUGUAAGUACCUUGUGAAAUCCCACGGCUUAACCGUGGAACUGCUCGGUAUACUGCGGAUCUUGAGCCACCUAGGGGCAACCGGAACAAACGGUGGAGCGGUGAAAUGCGUAGAUAUCGUUUGGAACGCCAAUGGUGAAAACAGGUUGCUGGGGGUGUGCUGACGCUGAGACACGAAAGCCAGGGGAGCAAACGGG
rnacentral:rRNA from 1 species